CAUCGUGUCUCUGGGCAUCUUGUGGA
rnacentral:piRNA from 1 species